AGUGAACGCUGCCGGUAGGCCUAACACAUGCAAGUCGAACGGCAGCACAGUAAGAGCUUGCUCUUACGGGUGGCGAGUGGCGGACGGGUGAGGAAUACAUCGGAAUCUACUUUUUCGUGGGGGAUAACGUAGGGAAACUUACGCUAAUACCGCAUACGACCUACGGGUGAAAGCAGGGGAUCUUCGGACCUUGCGCGAUUGAAUGAGCCGAUGUCGGAUUAGCUAGUUGGCGGGGUAAAGGCCCACCAAGGCGACGAUCCGUAGCUGGUCUGAGAGGAUGAUCAGCCACACUGGAACUGAGACACGGUCCAGACUCCUACGGGAGGCAGCAGUGGGGAAUAUUGGACAAUGGGCGCAAGCCUGAUCCAGCCAUACCGCGUGGGUGAAGAAGACCUUCGGGUUGUAAAGCCCUUUUGUUGGGAAAGAAAAGCAGCAGGUUAAUACCCCGCUGUUCUGACGGUACCCAAAGAAUAAGCACCGGCUAACUUCGUG
rnacentral:rRNA from 1 species